UACAGAGGGCGCGAGCGUUGUCCGGAAUCACUGGGCGUAAAGGGCGCGUAGGUGGCUGGCAAAGCGUGCGGUGAAAGCCCGGGGCUCAACCCCGGGUCGGCCGUGCGAACUGGUCAGCUCGAGCAUGGUAGAGGCGGGUGGAAUUCCGGGUGUAGCGGUGGAAUGCGUAGAGAUCCGGAAGAACACCGGUGGCGAAGGCGGCCCGCUGGGCCAUGGCUGACACUGAGGCGCGACAGCGUGGGGAGCAAACAGGG
rnacentral:rRNA from 1 species